rnacentral:rRNA from 1 species
UACGUAGGGGGCAAGCGUUGUCCGGAUUUACUGGGCGUAAAGAGCGUGUAGGCGGCCACGCAGGUCCGUUGUGAAAACUGGAGGCUCAACCUUCAGACGUCGACGGAAACCGUAUGGCUAGAGUCCGGAAGAGGAGAGUGGAACUCCCGGUGUAGCGGUGGAAUGCGUAGAGAUCGGGAAGAACACCAGUGGCGAAGGCGACGUGCUGGGUUGCACCUGACGCUGAGAUGCGAAAGUGUGGGGAGCAAACGGG